UCGCCCUUAGAGUUUGAUCCUGCUCAGAUUGAACGCUGGCGGCAUGCCUUACACAUGCAAGUCGAACGGCAGCAUGAUCUAGCUUGCUAGAUUGAUGGCGAGUGGCGAACGGGUGAGUAAUACAUCGGAACGUGCCCUGUAGUGGGGGAUAACUAGUCGAAAGAUUAGCUAAUACCGCAUACGACCUGAGGGUGAAAGUGGGGGACCGCAAGGCCUCAUGCUAUAGGAGCGGCCGAUGUCUGAUUAGCUAGUUGGUGAGGUAAAGGCUCACCAAGGCGACGAUCAGUAGCUGGUCUGAGAGGACGAUCAGCCACACUGGGACUGAGACACGGCCCAGACUCCUACGGGAGGCAGCAGUGGGGAAUUUUGGACAAUGGGCGAAAGCCUGAUCCAGCAAUGCCGCGUGUGUGAAGAAGGCCUUCGGGUUGUAAAGCACUUUUGUCCGGAAAGAAAUGGCUCUGGUUAAUACCUGGGGUCGAUGACGGUACCGGAAGAAUAAGGACCGGCUAACUACGUGCCAGCAGCCGCGGUAAUACGUAGGGUCCAAGCGUUAAUCGGAAUUACUGGGCGUAAAGCGUGCGCAGGCGGUUGUGCAAGACCGAUGUGAAAUCCCCGAGCUUAACUUGGGAAUUGCAUUGGUGACUGCACGGCUAGAGUGUGUCAGAGGGGGGUAGAAUUCCACGUGUAGCAGUGAAAUGCGUAGAGAUGUGGAGGAAUACCGAUGGCGAAGGCAGCCCCCUGGGAUAACACUGACGCUCAUGCACGAAAGCGUGGGGAGCAAACAGGAUUAGAUACCCUGGUAGUCCACGCCCUAAACGAUGUCAACUAGUUGUUGGGGAUUCAUUUCCUUAGUAACGUAGCUAACGCGUGAAGUUGACCGCCUGGGGAGUACGGUCGC
rnacentral:rRNA from 1 species